AAAUCUAAAAGAAUACUCUUCUAUCAACAAAAGUUUUUCUUAUCCUAAUUUAUAAAUCACAACCCCAAAUCUACAAUACUUAUCUAUAAUAAUGAAAAACUUUCCUAAAAUAGAAUUUUUAAAAAUUAUAUUUAAAAAAUACAAUAUAUUGAUAAAAAAAUCAAACAAAAUACUCUUCUAUCAACAAAAAUUCUUGUUAUCCUAAUCUCUAAACCAAAAUCCCAAAUGUACAAUAUUUCUCUACAAAAAUGAAAACUUUCUUAAAAUAGAAUUUUUGAGAAUUUUAUUUGUAAAAUACUACCUAUUGAUAAAAAAAUUUAAAAGAAUCCUCUUCUUUCAACAAAAGUUUUUCUUAUCCUAGUUUAAAAAUCACAACCCCAAAUCUACAAUAUUUAUCUAUAAAAAUGAAAACUAUCCUAAAAUAGAAUUUUUGAAAAAUUUAUUUAAAAAAUACAAUAUAUUGAUUAAAAAAAUCAAACAAAAUACUCUUCUAUCAACAAAAAUUUUUGUUGUCCUAAUUUCUAAACCAUAAUCCCAAAUGUACAAUAUUUCUCUACAAAAAUGAAAACUUUCCUAAAAUAGAAUUUUUAAGAAUUUUAUUUUUAAAAUACAACCUAUUGAUCAAAAAAUCUAAAAGAAUACUCUUCUAUCAACAAAAGUUUUUCUUAUCCUAAUUUAUAAAUCACAACCCCAAAUCUACAAUAUUUAUCUACAAAAAUGAAAACUUUUCUAAAAUAGAAUUUUUGAAAAUUUUAUUUUUAAAAUACAACCUAUUGAUCAAAAAAUCUAAAAGAAUACUCUUCUAUCAACAAAAGUUUUUCUUAUCCUAAUUUAUAAAUCACAACCCCAAAUCUACAAUACUUAUCUAUAAUAAUGAAAAACUUUCCUAAAAUAGAAAUUUUUGAAAAUUAUAUUUAAAAAAUACAAUAUAUUGAUAAAAAAAUCAAACAAAAUACUCUUCUAUCAACAAAAAUUCUUGUUGUCCUAAUCUCUAAACCACAAUGCCAAAUGUACAAUAUGUCUCUACAAAAAUGAAAAUUUUCCUAAAAUAGAAUUUUUGAGA
rnacentral:lncRNA from 1 species